CAUGAAACCAUGAUAAGGGGAAGUAUCUCGAACUUGCAUUGUAUGACAAGAAUAUACAUUUUUGCAGAGUGGCUGGUGGAAGGUCACAAUUUAUGACACAUUAUUUUUGAUGAACCCAAAUAUCCUGAAUAUCCAGUACCAUAGAGAGCCAAAGCUGGAGCUGAAUUUAGAUUUCUUGGAUGUUUCUUAGAUGGUAUAUCAUCUCCAAUGCCUUUGUCUUGUGUAGGUCAGCGGGGGCUCUGGCAGAAUGCUUGAAUCAGGCUGUGUAACCAGUAACCGUCCAGUACAAAUCAUAACACACUCAGUUUCUUUAAGUAAAGUUAAAGAAGGAGGGUGACUUUAUCACACAAGGUUGUUGAAUAGACACGUCCUGUCAGGGACGCGGGAAGUGGGGGUGCUUAGGGUGUGUGAAAUUCAGCACAGUAUCAGCCGAGUUCACUCUAAUUUCCACAUUGUUUACUUGCUGACGUUUGUGAAUAACAGUGGCUAGUUGGCAGAACUCUUUUUACACACCAGUAGUGUGUUUAUCAGAGCGGAUCCCUGAAUGUGACGUCACCCGUCAUCUCGUCUCUGUAAACAAUGGAUGUUGCGCAGCAUUUAUUAUGACGUCAUUAUAUAGAUUCUCUCUCAGCACCCCCCCCUCGGACUGACUUCCCGCGUCCCUGCGUCCUGUCAGUGUUUAUGGGAAAUGCUGGGCAUGGUGCUUACAAGAAGACACACUAGGAUGAUUCACCUAUAACUCUUAUUGAAUUAUCAAAUUGUUUGUCUUAAAAUCCAACAUUCAAACUGCUUUAGCGUAAUGCUGCGACUGAGUAGUGUGAUUCUUAUAAUACACUGUGCACCACCAAAGCAGCGAUAUACUGCUAUACAAUUCACAUUACACCUUUCACAUUUCAGUUUUUUGUUUUUGUUUGAGUGAUUGCUAAUUAUAUGUCCACCUAAUCUUUCCUAGCUAUCCUAAAUCAAAUCAUAUUUAUUUUGGGAUGGAUUGGGUGAGAAUGUAAACAGUCGCAGUAUUUAAAUAUUGUCCCUUUUAUGAAUCCGUGAUCAACCAUUCUGUGUUGGUUCACAUCCUUGGAACCAGACAAAUCUGCAAGCUUGUUUUCAUAUCGACUGCCCCCCCUCCCUUUCACACAGAUAUCAGGUUAUACUGGCCUGGGUCGGGCCAGCCUCGGCCAUUUAUAAAAUAUGGCAGGGGUUUAACACAAGUACAGCUGAGCACUCUAUGGAAGUGCUAUUGUGGCGUUUUCAUAAACAUCCAAAAAGGCUGCCGCUGUAUCACCAGUUUCAUUGCUGUGACAUUAUUUUAGAUUUGCUCACUUCUACAUCUCUUGUCUUGUAAUGCAAUAAACUCAGAUACACUCCUUUCGUUCAAAAGUCAGCUUAAAUCCCAUCUCUUCAGGACCACCUACAACAUCUGACGAAUCAUUCUGCACCAUCUUUCACCCUCUCUCUCUCUCUCUCUCUCUCUCUCUCUCUCUCUCUCUCUCUCUCUCUCUCUCUCUCUCUCUCUCUCUCUCUCAAAUUGUAUAUUUGCCUGUACUGUGUCUGUACUGUCUGUAUGUAUUCCUUUUUAUGAAGUGCCUUUGAGUACCAAGAAAAGCACUGUUAAAAAACAAU